rnacentral:rRNA from 1 species
AACGUAGGGGGCAAGCGUUGUCCGGAUUUAUUGGGCGUAAAGAGCGUGUAGGCGGCCAGACAGGUCCGUUGUGAAAACUCGAGGCUCAACCUCGAGACGCCGAUGGAAACCGUCUGGCUAGAGUAUGGGAGAGGGUAGUGGAAUUCCUGGUGUAGCGGUGAAAUGCGCAGAUAUCAGGAGGAACACCGAUUGCGAAGGCAGCUCGCUGGGACGUUACUGACGCUGAGACGCGAAAGCGUGGGGAGCAAACAGG